CCUACGGGAGGCAGCAGUGAGGAAUAUUGGUCAAUGGACGAGAGUCUGAACCAGCCAAGUAGCGUGCAGGAUGACGGCCCUAUGGGUUGUAAACUGCUUUUAUACGGGGAUAAAGUGACCCACGUGUGGGUUUUUGUAGGUACCGUAUGAAUAAGGACCGGCUAAUUCCGUGCCAGCAGCCGCGGUAAU
rnacentral:rRNA from 1 species